UACAGAGGGGGGCAAGCGUUAAUCGGAAUUACUGGGCGUAAAGCGUGCGUAGACGGUUAUGUAAGUCGGGUGUGAAAGCCCCGGGCUCAACCUGGGAAUUGCAUUCGAGACUGUGUAGCUAGGGUACGGAAGAGGGAAGCGGAAUUUCAGGUGUAGCGGUGAAAUGCGUAGAUAUCUGGAGGAACACCGGUGGCGAAGGCGGCAUCCUGGACCGGCAUUGACGCUGAGGAGCGAAAGCCAGGGGAGCAAAGCGGG
rnacentral:rRNA from 1 species